rnacentral:rRNA from 1 species
AGAGCGAACGCUGGCGGCAGGCUUAACACAUGCAAGUCGAACGGGCGUAGCAAUACGUCAGUGGCAGACGGGUGAGUAACGCGUGGGAACAUACCUCUUGGUUCGGAACGACACAGGGAAACUUGUGCUAAUACCGGAUAAGCCCUUACGGGGAAAGAUUUAUCGCCGAGAGAUUGGCCCGCGUCUGAUUAGCUAGUUGGUAGGGUAAUGGCCUACCAAGGCGACGAUCAGUAGCUGGUCUGAGAGGAUGAUCAGCCACAUUGGGACUGAGACACGGCCCAAACUCCUACGGGAGGCAGCAGUGGGGAAUAUUGGACAAUGGGCGCAAGCCUGAUCCAGCCAUGCCGCGUGAGUGAUGAAGGCCCUAGGGUUGUAAAGCUCUUUUGUACGGGAAGAUAAUGACGGUACCGUAAGAAUAAGCCCGGCUAACUUCGUGCCAGCAGCCGC